rnacentral:rRNA from 1 species
GUGGGGAAUAUUGGACAAUGGGCGCAAGCCUGAUCCAGCCAUGCCGCGUGAGUGAUGAAGGCCUUAGGGUUGUAAAGCUCUUUCAGUGGGGACGAUAAUGACGGUACCCACAGAAGAAGCCCCGGCUAACUUCGUGCCAGCAGCCGCGGUAAUACGAAGGGGGCUAGCGUUGUUCGGAUUUACUGGGCGUAAAGCGCACGUAGGCGGAUCGUUAAGUCGGGGGUGAAAUUCUGGAGCUCAACUCCAGAACUGCCUUAGAUACUGGCGAUCUUGAGUCCGGAAGAGGUGAGUGGAACUCCUAGUGUAGAGGUGGAAUUCGUAGAUAUUAGGAAGAACACCAGUGGCGAAGGCGGCUCACUGGUCCGGUACUGACGCUGAGGUGCGAAAGCGUGGGGAGCAAACAGGAUUAGAAACCCGUGUAGUCC